UACGGAGGAUGCAAGCGUUAUCCGGAAUGAUUGGGCGUAAAGCGUCCGCAGGUGGCUGUGUAAGUCUGCUGUCAAAGAGCAAGCUCAACUUUGUAAAGGCAGUGGAAACUACACGGCUAGAGUGCGUUCGGGGCAGAGGGAAUUCCUGGUGUAGCGGUGAAAUGCGUAGAGAUCAGGAAGAACACCGGUGGCGAAGGCGGCUCACUGGGCCCGAAUGACUGACCGCUGGAGGCACGAAAGCGUGGGGAGCAAACAGG
rnacentral:rRNA from 1 species